CGGGGUAUAGCGCAGUCCGGUAGCGCGCCUGCUUUGGGAGCAGGAUGUCAG
rnacentral:tRNA from 2 species